CUCAGCAGACAGGUUAUAAUGGUGUCAUCUCAGCAGACAGGUUAUAACGGUGUCAUCUCAGCAGACAGGUUAUAACGGUGUCAUCUCAGCAGACAGGUUAUAACGGUGUCAUCUCAGCAGACAGGUUAUAACGGUGUCAUCUCAGCAGACAGGUUAUAACGGUGUCAUCUCAGCAGACAGGUUAUAAUGGUGUCAUCUCAGAG